UAUCUAUAACUUUUAUUUUGUUCAUUUUUCUAUACAACAUUUUUUUGAAUAGUU
rnacentral:sRNA from 1 species